CUUUCAGGUUGGAAAACUCCCAGCACCCUCAGUUGAUCCUCAUCAGACUUGUGCUCCUGACCCUCCCUUAGUUCUGUUCCCUUCUCUGGACACCCUCCAGCCCCUCAAUGUCCUUCCUGGAUUGAGGGCCCAGAACUGGACACAACAUUCGAGGUGCGGCCUCACCAGUGCCCAGCACAGAGGGACAAUGACGGCUCUGGUCCUCUUGGCCACACUAAUGCUAGUACAGGUUUGAGCCUCCACUCAGUGAAAGAGUGUUAAACCAGCCUUUCCUUGUGCUGAGUUGUAAAGAAAGUGGUAAAGCAAAUGGGAUGCUAUAGCACUAUUUAUAAGUGAUCACCGCUGAAUCGUUCAGCCUCUGGCAACGCCAGCAUCUGACCAGCGGUGGGUAAACAGCAGCUCCCGUCAUACAAUCAAUUUUGGUUAGCAAAGAGAGAUGCAAGUCCUGGCAACUCAAGUGCCGAAGCAUUGAAAGGCACAGUAGGCAAUUUCACGCCCCAUCUCUCCCCUGCAAGCACAACAACGCUUUUCUGAAAAAAGGACUGAAAAUGCCAGAGUUUGGACUAUCAGAUUUUUUCCUUUGGACCAGUGAAGUGUAAGGAAGAAAAAGAAAACACCACUUACCAGACAGGAAAAAUUUAAAUCAUCAAAAUGAAAUAAAACAGAAGCUGGGGAAAGCUGUUUUUAAUGAA